ensembl:lncRNA
GUGCAAUUGACAUGCUGACUUCAGGAAUGUCCACCAGAGCAGUUGCCAGAGAAUUGAAUGUUCAUCAAUGUCGUUUUAGAGAAUUUGGCAGUACACCCAACUGGCCUCACAACCACAGACCACAUCGUAACCACUCCAGGCCAGGACCUCCACAUCCGGCUUCUUCACCUGGGGGAUCGUCUGAGACCAGCCACCCGGACAGCUGAGGAGUAUUUCUGUCUGUAAUAAAUCCCUUUUGUGGGGAAAUUGUCUGGGCCUUGCUUCCAAGUGGCGGUGAGGAAAGGAAGGAACUGAACACAGAAAGGGCCCGUGUAGGGAGAGCCUUUUGGAGGGUGACGCAGAUACUAAGCUAUGUCACAAAGGGAGGAGUCUACACUACCUAGAUACUUCAAAUCUCUGAACAGGAUUCCACCAUAUUGCUUCUAUUGUCAAGACAUUUCACAUCAGUGGCAAUCCAGGGAAGGAGAUGAGGAAAGAGGCCUAUUGAAGACUAUUAGGACACUUUCUGCUCUCUCCCCUCUGGUCUCCACUUGUCAUCACAUUUCACUGGUGAGAGAAGGGUUUAGCUUAGACAAGGACUUCACAGUAUUAUGAGGAACAUAAUGAAAUGGACUGUCAGUGUGUUGGAUAAAUUAUCUCAUUGUCGUAGUAUGACUGCUAUGAGUAGAAUAAUUCAUUAGCAUUAGGCCUAUUGCAAGUGCAAAAUAAACUGAUGACGAAUGAAUCCAAUAAAGUCUCAUAC